CUUUACGGCAGUGUGGCAGGAAAAGCCUCUGAGAGGCCCGUGGUUCGGGAGUGAGUGGAGGCAACUAGGGUACCCUGUGCUGAUUGGGUCCGGAACCAUGGACGUGGGCGAACUUUUAAGCUACCAGCCCAACAGGGGCACAAAACGACCCCGGGAUGAUGAGGAAGAAGAACUGAAAACACGUCGCAAGCAAACCGGUCCUCGAGAACGCGGCCGCUAUCGAGAAGAGGAGGCCACAGCAUCCGAAGACACGGACGAUGACAAGAAAAGGCUGCUGCAGAUUAUUGACAAGGAUGGCGAGGAAGAAGAGGAGGAGGAGGAGCCGCUGGAUGAGAGCUCAGUGAAGAAGAUGAUCCUCACAUUUGAAAAGCGAUCAUACAAGAACCAGGAGCUGCGGAUCAAGUUUCCAGACAAUCCGGAGAAGUUCAUGGAAUCCGAGCUGGACCUCAAUGACAUCAUUCAGGAGAUGCACGUGGUGGCCACCAUGCCUGACCUGUACCAUCUUCUCGUGGAGCUGAGUGCUGUGCAGUCACUUCUCGGCUUGCUGGGACACGAUAAUACAGAUGUGUCCAUAGCCGUGGUCGAUCUCCUUCAGGAGCUGACAGACAUAGACACCCUCCACGAGAGUGAGGAGGGAGCGGAAGUGCUCAUCGAUGCCCUGGUGGAUGGGCAGGUGGUCGCACUGUUGGUGCAAAAUCUGGAGCGCCUGGAUGAGUCUGUGAGAGAGGAGGCUGAUGGCGUCCACAAUACCCUAGCUAUUGUGGAGAAUAUGGCCGAGUUCCGUCCAGAGAUGUGCACAGAGGCUGCCCAGCAGGGACUCCUGCAAUGGCUGUUGAAGAGGCUGAAGGCCAAGAUGCCCUUUGAUGCCAACAAACUGUACUGUAGUGAAGUGCUGGCCAUCCUCCUCCAGGACAAUGAUGAAAACAGGGAAUUGCUGGGAGAGCUGGAUGGAAUCGAUGUGCUUCUUCAGCAGUUAUCCGUAUUUAAGAGACACAACCCCAGCACUGCAGAGGAGCAGGAGAUGAUGGAGAACCUGUUUGACGCCCUUUGCUCCUGCCUCAUGCUCAGCUCCAACCGAGAGCGCUUCCUGAAGGGCGAGGGCCUUCAGCUCAUGAAUCUCAUGCUCAGGGAGAAGAAGGUCUCCCGGAGUAGCGCCCUGAAGGUGCUGGACCACGCCAUGAUUGGGCCCGAGGGCACAGACAAUUGCCACAAGUUUGUUGACAUCCUUGGCUUACGAACCAUCUUUCCACUCUUCAUGAAGUCUCCCCGGAAGAUCAAGAAGGUGGGAACCACAGAGAAGGAGCAUGAAGAGCAUGUCUGUUCGAUCCUGGCUUCCCUCCUGCGCAACCUGAGAGGGCAGCAGCGGACCCGGCUUCUGAAUAAAUUUACAGAGAACGACAGUGAGAAGGUCGACAGACUAAUGGAGCUGCACUUUAAAUAUCUAGGUGCAAUGCAGGUGGCCGACAAGAAGAUUGAAGGGGAGAAGCACGACAUCGUGCGGCGCGGGGAGAUCAUCGACAAUGACAUGGAGGACGAGCUGUACCUGCGGCGCCUGGACGCUGGCCUCUUCAUCCUGCAGCACAUCUGCUACAUCAUGGCGGAGAUCUGCAAUGCCAGUGUCCCCCAGAUUCGCCAGCGGGUUCACCAGAUCCUGAACAUGCGUGGCAGCUCCAUCAAGAUCGUCAGGCACAUCAUCAAAGCAAAGAGAACGCUCCCCAAGACCUCUGGGAGGAAUCUGUUCAAUAUUUAUCAACUGCUGCAGCAGCUGAAAUAACCGGCAGCAGCCAGCAACAAGACCUGCUCUAACCAGAACUCCAGAAACAAAGAGUACGCAGAGAACAUCGGAGAUGGCCGGAGCCCUGAGUUCCGGGAAACUGAGCAGAAGCGCAUCCUGGGCUUGUUGGAGAACUUCUAGAAUGCUAGGCAGACCGUGACAGCCACGGACCCCUGGCUCCCUCCUGGAAACCAUUUUUACAGUUGUAUGGCUUGAACAAAUUAAAGCUAGUUUUGGUA